rnacentral:rRNA from 1 species
GGGCCAGACUCCUACGGGAGGCAGCAGUGGGGAAUAUUGCACAAUGGGGGAAACCCUGAUGCAGCGACGCCGCGUGAGUGAAGAAGUCUUUCGGUAUGUAAAGCGCUAUCAGCAGGGAAGAUAAUGACGGUACCUGACUAAGAAGCCCCGGCUAACUACGUGCCAGCAGCCGCGGUAAUACGUAGGUGGCAAGCGUUGUCCGGAAUUACUGGGUUUAAAGGGAGCGCAGGCGGGAAGCCAAGUCAGCUGUGAAAACUACGGGCUUAACUUGUAGACUGCAGUUGAAACUGGUUUUCUUGAGUGAAGUAGAGGUUGGCGGAAUUCCGAGUGUAGCGGUGAAAUUCGUAGAUAUUCGGAGGAACACCGGUGGCGAAGGCGGCCAACUGGGCUUUAACUGACGCUGAGGCUCGAAAGUGUGGGGAGCCAACAGGAUUAGAUACCCGAGUAAC